rnacentral:rRNA from 1 species
UGGGGGACUGGGCGGCAGCCUAACACAUGCAGUCGAGGGGUAACAGGGGGUGCUUGCACUCCGCUGACGACCGGCGCACGGGUGCGUAACGCGUAUACAAUCUGCCUUAUACUGGGGCAUAGCCUUUAGAAAUGAAGAUUAAUCCCCCAUAGUCUCUAGAUGUGGCAUCACAAUUAGAGUAAAGGUUACGGUAUAAGAUGAGUAUGCGUUCUAUUAGUUUGUUGGUGAGGUAACGGCUCACCAAGACUACGAUAGAUAGGGGCCUUGAGAGGGGGAUCCCCCACACUGGUACUGAGACACGGACCAGACUCCUACGGGAGGCAGCAGUGAGGAAUAUUGGACAAUGGAGGCAACUCUGAUCCAGCCAUGCCGCGUGCAGGAAGACUGCCCUAUGGGUUGUAAACUGCUUUUAUAUAGGAAGAAACCUUGGUACGUGUACCAAGCUGACGGUACUAUAAGAAUAAGGAUCGGCUAACUCCGUGCCAGCAGCCGCGGUAAUACGGAGGAUCCAAGCGUUAUCCGGAAUCAUUGGGUUUAAAGGGUCCGUAGGUGGAUAAUUAAGUCAGAGGUGAAAUCUUGCAGCUCAACUGUAAAAUUGCCUUUGAUACUGGUUGUCUUGAGUUAUUAUGAAGUAGUUAGAAUAUGUAGUGUAGCGGUGAAAUGCAUAGAUAUUACAUAGAAUACCAAUUGCGAAGGCAGAUUACUAAUAAUCAACUGACACUGAUGGACGAAAGCGUGGGUAGCGAACAGGAUUAGAUACCCUGGUAGUCCACGCCGUAAACGAUGGUUACUAGCUGUUUGGACCUUGUGUCUGAGUGGCUAAGCGAAAGUGAUAAGUAACCCACCUGGGGAGUACGUUCGCAAGAAUGAAACUCAAAGGAAUUGACGGGGGCCCGCACAAGCGGUGGAGCAUGUGGUUUAAUUCGAUGAUACGCGAGGAACCUUACCAGGCUUAAAUGUAAGUUGCAUUAGUUAGAGAUAGCUAUUUCUUCGGACUACUUACAAGGUGCUGCAUGGUUGUCGUCAGCUCGUGCCGCGAGGUGUCAGUUAAGUCCUAUACGAGCGCACCCCUGUUGUUUGCAUCGAGUCAUGUCGGGACUCUACAGGACUGCGUGCAACGCGAGGAGGUGGGGAUGACGUCAAUC